AUGGUCAUUUUUACUCCAGGAAAAGCUGGAAGUUGCACAGCGACAGAUCUGGUGAAUAAGGUAGAUGAGGACACAGCGUCGUGUUUUUACGAGCUGCCUUUCUGUUGGGUGGUGCUUGGCAGAAGCCUUCGUUGUAUAUUUUUUUUCACAUCUUCUAAAGACACUCUUGAAAGAGAAUUUCCAGAGCUACUGCAGAAAGUGCCAAGAACAAAGGGGUCCUUCCCCACCUUGUGGACAGCAGUUUCACACAGCUUGAUCUUGACCUCAGAGUACAGCUCUGUGGUGAGGAGCUCAGGCCCUGCAUAUACCGGACAGACCAGAGUUAAAACCUAGUUCUGCCAGCAACUGAGUCUAUGACUGGAUCACACCUAUUUCACCCGCCUAUUUACCCAUCUGUGAAACAGGAGUAUGGCACUGUCAACCUCAAGGGGGUGGGAGGUGUGAACAACUUGGUUUGAGGCCUGGGGUACCAGGGCACUGGGAAGAUGGCUGUGUUCAUACAACUGGGGGUAAAGGAAAAAUCAUGCAGCUAUCAGCAUCUUCCCUGCUCCUCUCAGACCCCUUCUAGUCCUGUUCUGCCAGGAGUCCUCUCCCAAUGGUGCUUAUCUGUCCAUCGCUGUGUUACUCAGCUUUCUCACCACUGAGACACAAUACCUGACAAUCACAUGCUCUCUGGAGGCCUCAUACACUUCUAUUUUCAUAUAGCUUAGGGCUGAGUUCAAUUGCAUAUUUAAUCAUUCUGAGUUGGUGUUAGUCUUGUCUCCUCACCUGAGCCCCCAAACUCCUCUUGGGCAAAGCCGGGAAGUUUUCUCCUGGC
rnacentral:lncRNA from 1 species